AUAUCAGUAAGCGGAGGAAAAGAAACUAACUAGGAUUGCCUUAGUAGCGGCGAGUGAAGAGGCAUCAGCUCAAAGUGUUAAUCUGUGCAAACAGAAUUGUAAUCUAUAGAACAUCUCAGAAAGUGGAGACCUGUCAUAAGUUCUUUGGAACAAGACACCAUAGAGGGUGAAAGUCCCGUCUUUGGAUAGGUCAAAGCAAUAUGAGGGGUUUCUAAGAGUCGGGUAGUUUGGGAAUGCUGCCCUAAGUGGGAGAUAAACUUCUCCUAAGGCUAAGUAUAAGAUAGGAGACCGAUAGCGCACAAGUA
rnacentral:rRNA from 1 species